rnacentral:lncRNA from 1 species
CCUCGUAAUUGCAGAACUUCCCAUCACUUUUUGAACCUUUUAUCAAUUGUAAUUAAUCAUCUUUGAGAAAAACCUAAAUCAUUCAUCAUGCAAUAGAUGGUAAACAAAAGUAAAAAAAUUUAUUAAAUAUAAUAUUUUAUAAAGGAGUGUAGCAAAUUCUGUUUUACUAUAUUAGUGUACUUAUGUGCAAUUGCUUAUUGAUAAAAUCUUUUUUUACUAUUUUAGUGUCCUCAUGUGCAAUUACUUAUCGAUGGACAAGGUUUAUCACAUCUUUACCAAAAAAAAUUAUCACAUUAACAAUUUAAAUUAUUUUUAACAAAGAAUUUAGA